UGCAGUCGAACGAUGAACCUCCUUCGGGAGGGGAUUAGUGGCGAACGGGUGAGUAACACGUGGGCAAUCUGCCCUUCACUCUGGGACAAGCCCUGGAAACGGGGUCUAAUACCGGAUACGAGCCUGAGAGGCAUCUCUCGGGUUGGAAAGCUCCCUUGGUGAAGGAUGAGCCCGCGGCCUAUCAGCUUGUUGGUGAGGUAAUGGCUCACCAAGGCGACGACGGGUAGCCGGCCUGAGAGGGCGACCGGCCACACUGGGACUGAGACACGGCCCAGACUCCUACGGGAGGCAGCAGUGGGGAAUAUUGCACAAUGGGCGAAAGCCUGAUGCAGCGACGCCGCGUGAGGGAUGACGGCCUUCGGGUUGUAAACCUCUUUCAGCAGGGAAGAAGCGAGAGUGACGGUACCUGCAGAAGAAGCGCCGGCUAACUACGUGCCAGCAGCCGCGGUAAUACGUAGGGCGCAAGCGUUGUCCGGAAUUAUUGGGCGUAAAGAGCUCGUAGGCGGCUUGUCACGUCGAUUGUGAAAGCCCGAGGCUUAACCUCGGGUCUGCAGUCGAUACGGGCUAGCUAGAGUGUGGUAGGGGAGAUCGGAAUUCCUGGUGUAGCGGUGAAAUGCGCAGAUAUCAGGA
rnacentral:rRNA from 1 species